rnacentral:lncRNA from 1 species
ACAAAGAAGUAGAAAAAAAAUAUUUUCUUCCAAGAAAUUCUGUCGGAUGAAUUCCAUAAACAUCAAUUAGCUUCCUUUUACCUCCUACAUAUUUACAAUAAUGUCCUCCAUAUAAUGGGCACUGCCCCAAAAGGGAUGUUGCAAAAAUGGAUUCCACCAUCUUCACCAGGUCACAAUAGCUGAACUUCUGAAGUGCUUAAAGCCUUAAACCUACCAGAUAUCUAGCCUAAUAACUAUUCUCGAAUUCAAACUAUUGUCAACUCAAAACAAAGGAAAAUCCCUAAAACUCAACCAAACUUUCAUGAAUUGAACUGGGUCAAACACCUAAAAGCAAUUACUGAAAACCGAAACACAAAAUCUAAAAAUUUAAGCCUAAUUCAACACUAACAGCAAGAAAAUCCAGCAACCCACUUCAAAUUUUCUUAACAGGACAUAAUUCAAGCAUCAAAAUGACCAUACAGCAUUAUUUAGAGUAUAUAUUAAAAGAACCAUCUUUUGUGGGAAAACCGUAUGACACCCAAUUUAUCCUCUAUAAGCUCAAAAGGGAAAAUACAAACAGCCUUCCCACAAUAAUGAUCCCAACUUUAUGCAAUGCCCAUCAAACUACAAUCCAUAGCAACAAUCAACAAAUGAAGCAGAUUCAGCCAAUUAAGAAAAAAGAACAAAUAUUACAGGACUGAAAUUAUAUACAGAUUAAAAACUGACCAAAUAGAACAGAAUAUUAUCUGAUUUUUGAAGUGGAAAAUUGGGAAUAUGUAAGAAUAAAUAUUUACAGAGAAAAAGUGGGGAAGGAAAAGAACCUGUGGGUGAGAAUGAGUUGUAACUGAAAUGGGACAGCGAAGAGAGAGAUUUGAUUCUUCUUCCAACAGGUUUAUAUGCGGUUCGUAGGCAACAGGGAGAGAAGGCCGCCUUAGCCUUUGCCUACCGG